AACGAACGCUGGCGGCAUGCCUAACACAUGCAAGUCGAACGAGACCUUCGGGUCUAGUGGCGCACGGGUGCGUAACGCGUGGGAACCUUCCCUUAGGUUCGGAAUAACUCCCCGAAAGGGGUGCUAAUACCGGAUAAUGUCUUCGGACCAAAGAUUUAUCGCCUUUGGAUGGGCCCGCGUUGGAUUAGCUAGUUGGUAGGGUAAAAGCCUACCACGGCGACGAUCCAUAGCUGGUCUGAGAGGAUGAUCAGCCACACUGGGACUGAGACACGGCCCAGACUCCUACGGGAGGCAGCAGUGGGGAAUAGUGGACAAUGGGCGAAAGCCUGAUCCAGCAAUGCCGCGUGAGUGAUGAAGGCCUUAGGGUUGUAAAGCUCUUUUACCCGGGAUGAUAAUGACAGUACCGGGAGAAUAAGCUCCGGCUAACUCCGUG
rnacentral:rRNA from 1 species